GACGAACCGUGCGAACGUUGUUCGGAAUCACUGGGCUUAAAGGGCGCGUAGGCGGGCUCGCAAGUCAGGGGUGAAAUCCCACGGCUCAACCGUGGAAGUGCCUUUGAUACUGCGGGCCUCGAGGGAGGUAGGGGCGUGCGGAACUUCCGGUGGAGCGGUGAAAUGCGUAGAUAUCGGAAGGAACACCGGUGGCGAAAGCGGCGCGCUGGACCUCUACUGACGCUGAGGCGCGAAAGCCAGGGGAGCAAACGGG
rnacentral:rRNA from 1 species